rnacentral:rRNA from 1 species
CAGUAGCCGCGGUAAUACGAAGGGUGCAAGCGUUACUCGGAAUUACUGGGCGUAAAGCGUGCGUAGGUGGUGGUUUAAGUCCGUUGUGAAAGCCCUGGGCUCAACCUGGGAAUUGCAGUGGAUACUGGGUCACUAGAGUGUGGUAGAGGAUAGAGGAAUUUCCGGUGUAGCAGUGAAAUGCGUAGAGAUCGGAAGGAACAUCUGUGGCGAAGGCGACUAUCUGGGCCAACACUGACACUGAGGCACGAAAGCGUGGGGAGCAAACAGGAUUAGAUACCCCUGUAGUCCCUGUCUCUUAUAC